rnacentral:lncRNA from 1 species
CAGAAAGAGGCCACACCUUUCUAUCUGAGGUCUCCCAAUGGGACAGCCAAACUCUAUGCCUAUUGGAUUGUGGUGAACUUUAGUGAAGCUUAUAAUCUCUUUGCAUUCUCUUCAAUCAUGAGAGUCCCAAAAGAAGAGCCAAUUUUGUUACGUGAAUUAUCUGGUCAGUAGCUAUAAUUUACCUUGAAUAACUGAAAUGUUUCAGUUUGGGAAGUCUGGAUGCCAAAUCAGUCCAGGGCCAUGCCAAGGGCUAUGUAGAGGCUAUGUGGCUGAUAUUACAGAAUGAUGAGCCAGAGGACUUUGUCAUAGUUACUGGGGAAGUUCAUAGCGUCAGUGAAUUUGUUGAAAAAUCAUUCGCACAUAUUGGAAAAACAAUUGUGUGGGAAGGAAAAAUUAAAAAUAAAGUGGCAGAUGUAAAGAGAUCAGUAAAGUUCAUGUGAUUGUAAAUCUGAAAUACUACUAAACAACUGAAGUAGACUUUCUGCGGGGAAACUGCUCCAAGGCUCAGCAGAUGGCUCAUACUUGGCAGAAUUUCUGCUAGAGAAAGGAUACAAGGUCUAUGGAAUUGUACAGUGAUCCAGUUCCAUUAAUAUAGGUCAAAUUGAAUAUUUAUAUAAAAAUCCUCAGGGUCAUAUUGAAGGAAACAUGAAGUUGUACUAUGGUUACCUCACAGCACCUGCUUGCUGAAAAUCAUUGAUGAAGUCAAGCCUACAGAGAUAUAUAAUCUUGGCACUCAGAGCCAUGUAAAGCUCUCCUCUGACUAGAUGAGAGCAAUCCAGAUGUUGAUGGAGUUGUUAUCUUGAAGCUUCUGGAUACAAUUAAAACUUGUGACCUUAUGAAUUCUGUGAAGUUCUACUAGGCCUCAACAAGUAUAUUUUAUGGAAAAGUGCAGGAAAUACCCUGGAAA